GUGGGGGGAGGGCGCGGUAUAAAGGGCCGGAGGCUGCGCGGGCUGAGACCCGAGACGUGGCGCGCCCACCCUGCCGGCCUCUUCUCCAGCCACAUUGCUCGUGACCCGGCCUGUGCAGCGGAGCAAAGCCAGGAGGGGGCUGGACAGACCACCACAACCACCACCCAGAAGAGGUGCUGAAGACGCUGUGGGUCAGGAGUGCCCCAGGGAACCCUGGAUGUUCGUGAUCUUUAAUGAGUGGACGAGAUUGUAUUAACAUCAUGAAAAAUCUAAGUCCGGGAAAUCAUGGCCUCUGGGCGUUUACGGGAUACAAGAAAUCCUUCACAGGAUUUUCCUGUAGAUAAGGGGGGCGGGUACAGUACAGUCGUCAACCACCGGUGUUCUUUUUCUCGGGUUUUCCUUCGUUUGGAUCCGUGGCCUUUAAGAAUUAAUAAAACUGCUAGAUCAAAAA